GGAUCCAGACUUUGAUCAUGGCUCACGAUGAACGCUAGCUACAGGCUUAACACAUGCAAGUCGAGGGGCAGCGGGAUUGAAGCUUGCUUCAAUUGCCGGCGACCGGCGCACGGGUGAGUAACGCGUAUCCAACCUUCCGUACACUCAGGGAUAGCCUUUCGAAAGAAAGAUUAAUACCUGAUAGUAUCUUAAGCACACAUGUAAUUAAGAUUAAAGAUUUAUCGGUGUACGAUGGGGAUGCGUUCCAUUAGGUAGUAGGCGGGGUAACGGCCCACCUAGCCAACGAUGGAUAGGGGUCCUGAGAGGAAGGUCCCCCACAUUGGAACUGAGACACGGUCCAAACUCCUACGGGAGGCAGCAGUGAGGAAUAUUGGUCAAUGGACGAGAGUCUGAACCAGCCAAGUAGCGUGAAGGAUGAAGGUCCUACGGAUUGUAAACUUCUUUUAUAAGGGAAUAAACCCUCCCACGUGUGGGAGCUUGUAUGUACCUUAUGAAUAAGCAUCGGCUAACUCCGUGCCAGCAGCCGCGGUAAUACGGAGGAUGCGAGCGUUAUCCGGAUUUAUUGGGUUUAAAGGGAGCGCAGACGGGUCGUUAAGUCAGCUGUGAAAGUUUGGGGCUCAACCUUAAAAUUGCAGUUGAUACUGGCGUCCUUGAGUGCGGUUGAGGUGUGCGGAAUUCGUGGUGUAGCGGUGAAAUGCUUAGAUAUCACGAAGAACUCCGAUUGCGAAGGCAGCACACUAAUCCGUAACUGACGUUCAUGCUCGAAAGUGUGGGUAUCAAACAGGAUUAGAUACCCCGGUAGUCCACACGGUAAACGAUGGAUACUCGCUGUUGGCGAUAUACUGUCAGCGGCUUAGCGAAAGCGUUAAGUAUCCCACCUGGGGAGUACGCCGGCAACGGUGCAACUCAAAUGAAUUGACGG
rnacentral:rRNA from 1 species